CCCUUUUGUGCAUGAGUUGUGGGGUAUGAGUGGUUCGGGCUAACACCAGCGUCCUUGGAGAUCUUUUCGCUAUGUUUGUAUUCUUCUUGCUUUUCAAAUGGUAACCUGAAAGGAAAGGAAGGGACUUCUAAGUAUUUGGCUUGCAGUGGUGUGGCUCAUUUUGGAAAGCAAGGAACAAUUAUGUGUUUUCUUCUAAAGUGCCGG
rnacentral:lncRNA from 1 species